rnacentral:rRNA from 1 species
GUGAAACGCCGUGACGCCGAUGGUAGUGUGGGGUCUCCCCAUGUGAGAGUAGGUCACCGCCAGGU